CAUUAUAUAAGUUAUCGUUUAUUUGAUAGUACCUUACUACUUGGAUAACCGUGGUAAUUCUAGAGCUAAUACAUGCUAAAAAUCCCGACUUCGGAAGGGAUGUAUUUAUUAGAUUAAAAACCAAUGCCCUUCGGGGCUCACUGGUGAUUCAUGAUAACUCCUCGAAUCGCAUGGCCUUGUGCCGGCGAUGGUUCAUUCAAAUUUCUUCCCUAUCAACUUUCGAUGUUUGGGUAUUGGCCAAACAUGGUUGCAACGGGUAACGGAGGGUUAGGGCUCGACCCCGGAGAAGGAGCCUGAGAAACGGCUACUACAUCCAAGGAAGGCAGCAGGCGCGCAAAUUACCCAAUCCCGACACGGGGAGGUAGUGACAAUAAAUACUGAUACAGGGCUCUUUUGGGUCUUGUAAUUGGAAUGAGUACAAUUUAAAUCCCUUAACGAGGAACAAUUGGAGGGCAAGUCUGGUGCCAGCAGCCGCGGUAAUUCCAGCUCCAAUAGCGUAUAUUAAAGUUGUUGUGGUUAAAAAGCUCGUAGUUGAACCUUGGGCCUGGCUGGCCGGUCCGCCUCACCGCGUGUACUGGUCCGGCCGGGCCUUUCCCUCUGUGGAACCCGAUGCCCUUCACUGGGUGUCGUGGGGAAACAGGACUUUUACUGUGAAAAAAUUAGAGUGCUCCAGGCAGGCCUAUGCUCGAAUACAUUAGCAUGGAAUAAUAGAAUAGGACGUGUGGUUCUAUUUUGUUGGUUUCUAGGACCGCCGUAAUGAUUAAUAGGGACAGUCGGGGGCAUCAGUAUUCAAUUGUCAGAGGUGAAAUUCUUGGAUUUAUUGAAGACUAACUACUGCGAAAGCAUUUGCCAAGGAUGUUUUCAUUAAUCAGGAACGAAAGUUAGGGGAUCGAAGACGAUCAGAUACCGUCGUAGUCUUAACCAUAAACUAUGCCGACUAGGGAUCGGACGGUGUUAUUUUUUGACCCGUUCGGCACCUUACGAGAAAUCAAAGU
rnacentral:rRNA from 1 species